UUUGUCUUUACAUAUAGCUAAUUGUGUCCAUAACUCAAAACCUACAUGGCCUUAUAAAGCAAAUCAAAUCUCUUCCUCUUCAACUUAUCACUUGCCUUAUUCUUUCAUAUCAUUGUAGAAAGAAGGAAGACAAGUGGAGAGAUCUAGAGUUAUAAAUAAUAUAUAGAAAAAACAACAACAAUUAGUAGUCAUGUCUAGCAGAAGAAGAUCAAAUAAUAAUUCAAGAUUCACUCAAGAUGAGAUUAGUGAUCUUGUUUUGAAAUUACAAUCUCUCUUGCCAAAUUCCUUUUCAAGGUGCACCACCACGGUAACAUCAUCAUCAAAGAUACUAGAAGAAGCAUGUAAUUACAUAAGAAAACUACACAAUGAGGUGGAUGAUCUAAGUGAGAAGUUAUCUCAAGUACUCCCUUCUGUGGAUAGCAAUAAUAUUGAUCUUAUACACACUUUGUUAAGUCUUCUUCAACAGUAAAUUAAAGCCCACGGAUCUAGGCAUCUCUUAGUGGUUGUUAAGUUUUUUUUAAAAAUAUAUAAUAUUAAAAUAUAAUAUAAAAUGUCUACCUAGAGUUUUAUAUAAUGUCUCAGUUACUACUAUAUAUAUAUAUCUUAAUAAUGUAAUCUUGUAAUGUUAUAAAUAAGACAUUAUUUUAAAUCA